rnacentral:pre_miRNA from 1 species
UCUUGAUGACGACGAUGAUGAUGAUGAUGAUGAUGAUGAUGUUGAUCAUCAUCAUCAUCAUCAUCAUCAUCAUCAUCAGGA